rnacentral:rRNA from 1 species
AUUGAACGCUGGCGGCAUGCUUUACACAUGCAAGUCGAACGGCAGCGCGGGCUUCGGCCUGGCGGCGAGUGGCGAACGGGUGAGUAAUGCAUCGGAACGUGCCCAGUAGUGGGGGAUAGCCCGGCGAAAGCCGGAUUAAUACCGCAUACGACCUGAGGGUGAAAGCGGGGGACCGAAAGGCCUCGCGCCAUUGGAGCGGCCGAUGUCGGAUUAGCUAGUUGGUGGGGUAAAGGCUUACCAAGGCGACGAUCCGUAGCUGGUCUGAGAGGACGACCAGCCACACUGGGACUGAGACACGGCCCAGACUCCUACGGGAGGCAGCAGUGGGGAAUUUUGGACAAUGGGGGCAACCCUGAUCCAGCCAUGCCGCGUGCGGGAAGAAGGCCUUCGGGUUGUAAACCGCUUUUGUUCGGGAAGAAAUCCUCUGGGCUAACACCCCGGGGGGAUGACGGUACCGGAAGAAUAAGCACCGGCUAACUACGUG